GUCUUGAAACACGGACCAAGGAGUCUAGCAUGUGCGCGAGUCAUUGGGAUAUAUAGAAUACCUAGACGCGCAAUGAAAGUGAAGGCCGGCCCUAGCGCCGGUCGAGGGAGGAUGCGGACGGCCUCGGCCGCCCGCCGCACUCCCGGGGCGUCUCGCCCUCAUCGCGAGGAGAGGCGCACCCAGAGCGUACACGCUGGGACCCGAAAGAUGGUGAACUAUGCCUGGUCAGGACGAAGUCAGGGGAAACCCUGAUGGAGGUCCGUAGCGAUUCUGACGUGCAAAUCGAUCGUCGGAACUGGGUAUAGGGGCGAAAGACUAAUCGAACCAUCUAGUAGCUGGUUCCCUCCGAAGUUUCCCUCAGGAUAGCUGGCGCUCGCUUUUGCGAGUCUCAUCCGGUAAAGCGAAUGAUUAGAGGCAUUGGGGUCGAAACGGCCUCAACCUAUUCUCAAACUUUAAAUGGGUGAGAUCUCCGGCUUGCUUGAACCAAUCAAUGAAGCCGCGAGAUUUCGGAUCAGAGUGCCAAGUGGGCCAUUUUUGGUAAGCAGAACUGGCGCUGUGGGAUGAACCAAACGCAGAGUUAAAGCGCCUAAAUCGACGCUCAUGGGAUACCAUGAAAGGCGUUGGUAACUUAAGACAGCAGGACGGUGGCCAUGGAAGUCGGAAUCCGCUAAGGAGUGUGUAA
rnacentral:rRNA from 2 species